rnacentral:lncRNA from 1 species
GUUAUUUAUGCAUAUACUUGAAUUAUGUUAUUCUUCCUUAGAGGAGGUGAAGCUGCAAAAUGAAUUUGUGUUUCCCUUAUUAGUUUUUCCCCUCAUUGGUUACUAAGACAUUAUCAGUAUUUUUAUAGUGACGUCAUACAUGCCUCAAUUUUUUAGGAACGAUUAUCUGGUUGCAAAGGAAAAGAUCAGAAAAGAAUAAGCA